CUUGCUAUUAUAUAAGAGGUCCCGCCUGCCCAGUGACCUAGUUCAACGGCCGCGGUAUCCUAACCGUGCGAAGGUAGCGUAAUCACUUGUUCUCUAAAUAAGGACUAGUAUGAAUGGCACCACGAGGGUUACACUGUCUCCUUUUUCCAAUCAAUGAAACUGAUCUGCCCGUGAAGAAGCGAGCAUAAAAAUAUAAGACGAGAAGACCCUAUGGAGCUUUAAACUACAAUAGCAUGGGCUAUCCACUACAUGUUUCAGAACCACAACAUCCAACUUAGCCUCAAUGACUAUUAGUUUUAGGUUGGGGUGACCGCGGAGUAAAAAUUAACCUCCAUAUUGAAAGGACUACGUCCUGAGCUUAGAGCUACACCUCCAAGCACCAAUAAACUGACAUUCAUUGACCCAACAUAUUGAUCAACGAAC
rnacentral:rRNA from 1 species